rnacentral:rRNA from 1 species
AUUGAACGCUGGCGGAAUGCUUUACACAUGCAAGUCGAACGGCAGCACGGACUUCGGUCUGGUGGCGAGUGGCGAACGGGUGAGUAACAUAUCGGAACGUAUCCAAUAAUGGGGGAUAACUAAUCGAAAGGUUGGCUAAUACCGCAUACGCCCUACGGGGGAAAGCUAGGGACCUUCGGGCCUGGCGUUAAUGGAGCGGCCGAUAUCUGAUUAGCUAGUUGGUGAGGUAAAGGCUCACCAAGGCGACGAUCAGUAGCUGGUCUGAGAGGACGACCAGCCACACUGGAACUGAGACACGGUCCAGACUCCUACGGGAGGCAGCAGUGGGGAAUUUUGGACAAUGGGCGCAAGCCUGAUCCAGCCAUUCCGCGUGAGUGAAGAAGGCCUUCGGUGUAAAGCUCUUUCGCAAGGGAAGAAAUGAUACCGACGAAUAAUCGGUGUUAAUGACGGUACCUUGAUAGAAGCACCGGCUAACUACGUGCCAGCA